rnacentral:misc_RNA from 1 species
CAUUUUGGAUUUUUUCCCCUCCCGAUUUCUUUGGAGAUCCCAUUUUGCGACGCGUGGCGUCGGACUCGGAAGAGCUUUUCGAGGAGUAUUCACGGGAUGUGGGAGCCCAUCGGGAUUGAAAUAUAGGCACGCUAACAUAGAGACACGCUACUUACUGAGAAAUUAAAAUUUUCAAAGUUCGUCGUGUGCAAGUAGUCUCCUUUUAAUUGCUCGGAAAUUGCGCGACGGGUUUUCGAAAGCGGGAAGUUUAGCGGUCGUGACUUUUCUCAAGAAGGGAAAGAAGUUCGCUUCAAGUAAAUUUGUAAUGCAAAACAUGAC